UACGGAGGGUGCAAGCGUUAAUCGGAAUUACUGGGCGUAAAGCGUGCGCAGGCGGUUUGUUAAGUCCGUUGUGAAAGCCCCGAGCUCAACUUGGGAAUUGCAGUGGAUACUGGCAGGCUGGAGUACGGUAGAGGAAGGUGGAAUUCCCGGUGUAGCAGUGAAAUGCGUAGAUAUCGGGAGGAACACCAGUGGCGAAGGCGGCCUUCUGGACCAGUACUGACGCUCAUGCACAAAAGCGUGGGGAGCAAACAGG
rnacentral:rRNA from 1 species